ensembl:misc_RNA 7SK 7SK RNA
GGGGGUGAGCUGCCAGUAACACCUGUCACCCCAUUGAUAGUCUGCCUUAAUAUUAUUGGUCUGGUUGGCUAGAUGGGCAUCCCCUUACUCCCUC